AUUGAACGCUGGCGGCAGGCCUAACACAUGCAAGUCGAGCGGAGCGGCGGACGGGUGAGUAAUGCCUAGGAAUCUGCCUGGUAGUGGGGGAUAACGUCCGGAAACGGGCGCUAAUACCGCAUACUAUCAGAUGAGCUUAGGUCGGCUUGGCUGGUUGGUGGGUUAAAGGCCUACCAAGGCGACGAUCCGUAACUGGUCUGAGAGGAUGAUCAGUCACCCGGGAACUGAGACAGGGUCCAUACGCCUACGGGGGGCACCAGUGGGGAAUAUUGGACAAUGGGCGAAAGCUGGAUCCAGCAAGGCCGCGUGUGGGAAGAAGGUCUUCGGAUUGUAAAGCACGUUAAGUUGGGAGGCGUUACCAACAGAAUAAGCAACGGCUAACUUCGUGCCAGCCGCCGCGGUAAUAC
rnacentral:rRNA from 1 species